rnacentral:pre_miRNA from 10 species
UGCCCAGUGCUCUGUAUGGCUUCUUAUUCCUAUCUGACUGUUGAUGGCUCAUAUAGGGAUGGAAGCCAUGCAGUGCGCUG